GAAUUCGCCCUUAGAGUUUGAUCCUUGCUCAGGACGAACGCUGGCGGCGUGCUUAACACAUGCAAGUCGAACGGAGGUUACUUUGAAACGUAAGUCGAUAAGUAACCUUAGUGGCGGACGGGUGAGUAACGCGUGGAUAACCUGCCUGACUGACCGGGACAACACUUGGAAACGGGUGCUAAUACCGGAUACGCUCAUUGAUACGCAUGUAUUAAUGAGGAAAGGGGAAACUCGCAGACAGAUGGGUCCGCGUCCCAUUAGCUAGUUGGAGGUGUAAUGGACCCCCAAGGCGACGAUGGGUAGCCGGCCUGAGAGGGUGAACGGCCACACUGGAACUGAGACACGGUCCAGACUCCUACGGGAGGCAGCAGUGGGGAAUCUUCCGCAAUGGGCGAAAGCCUGACGGAGCAACGCCGCGUGAGUGAAGAAUGCCUUCGGGUUGUAAAACUCUGUCUUCAGGGAAGAAACAAAUGACGGUACCUGAGGAGGAAGCCCCGGCUAACUACGUGCCAGCAGCCGCGGUAAAACGUAGGGGGCGAGCGUUGUCCGGAAUUACUGGGCGUAAAGGGCGCGUAGGCGGUUAUCCAAGUCAGGGGUGAAAACCCUGGGCUCAACUCAGAGCCUGCCUCUGAAACUGGGUGACUUGAGGGCAGGAGAGGGGAGUGGAAUUCCCAGUGUAGCGGUGAAAUGCGUAGGUAUUGGGAGGAACACCAGUGGCGAAGGCGGCUCUCUGGCCUAACCCUGACGCUGAGGCGCGAAAGCGUGGGGAUCAAACAGGAUUAGAUACCCUGGUAGUCCACGCCGUAAACGAUGGGUGCUAGGUGUAGG
rnacentral:rRNA from 1 species